rnacentral:rRNA from 1 species
AUUGAACGCUGGCGGCAGGCCUAACACAUGCAAGUCGAACGAGCGGCGGACGGGUGAGUAAUGUCUGGGAAUCUGGCUGAUGGAGGGGGAUAACUACGGGAAACGGUAGCUAAUACCGCGUACCAUAGGAUGAGCCCAAGUGGGAUUAGCUAGUUGGUGAGGUAAAGGCUCACCAAGCCGACGAUCUCUAGCUGGUCUGCGAGGAUGACCAGCCACACUGGAACUUAGACACGGCCCAGACUCCUACGGGAGGCAGCAGUGGGGAAUAUUGCGCAAUGGGCGCAACCCUGAUGCAGCCAUGCCGCGUGUAUGAAGAAGGCCUUCGGGUUGUAAAGUUCUUUCGGUAGGGAGGCGUUACCUGCAGAAGAAGCACCGGCUAACUCCGUGCCAGCAGCCGCGGUAAUUC